rnacentral:rRNA from 1 species
GGCUAACUCCGUGCCAGCAGCCGCGGUAAUACGGAGGGUGCGAGCGUUAAUCGGAAUUACUGGGCGUAAAGCGCAUGCAGGCGGCCUGUUAAGUCAGAUGUGAAAGCCCGGGGCUUAACCUCGGAAUUGCAUUUGAAACUGGCAGGCUAGAGUCUUGUAGAGGGGGUAGGAAUUUCAGGUGUAGCGGUGAAAUAGCGUAGAGAUCUGAAGGAAUACCAGUGGCGAAGGCGGCCCCCUCGGACAAAGACUGACGCUCAGAUGCGAAAGCGUGGGGGAGCAAACAGGAUUAGAUACCCCUGGUAG